rnacentral:rRNA from 1 species
UGGGGAAUUUUGGACAAUGGGGGCAACCCUGAUCCAGCCAUGCCGCGUGAGUGAAGAAGGCCUUCGGGUUGUAAAGCUCUUUCGGCCGGGAAGAAAUCGCACAGGCUAAUACCCUGUGUGGAUGACGGUACCGGCAUAAGAAGCACCGGCUAACUACGUGCCAGCAGCCGCGGUAAUACGUAGGGUGCGAGCGUUAAUCGGAAUUACUGGGCGUAAAGCGUGCGCAGGCGGUUAGAUAAGUUUGAUGUGAAAUCCCCGGGCUCAACCUGGGAACUGCAUUGAAGACUGUCUGACUAGAGUACGGCAGAGGGGGGUGGAAUUCCACGUGUAGCAGUGAAAUGCGUAGAGAUGUGGAGGAACACCGAUGGCGAAGGCAGCCCCCUGGGCCGAUACUGACGCUCAUGCACGAAAGCGUGGGGAGCAAACA